UUGAACGCUGGCGGCAUGCCUUACCCAUGCAAGUCGAACGGUAACAGGUCUUCGGAUGCUGACGAGUGGCGACCGGGUGAGUAAUACAUCGGAACGUGCCCAGACGUGGGGGAUAACGAGGCGAAAGCUUUGCUAAUACCGCAUACGAUCUAAGGAUGAAAGCAGGGGACCGCAAGGCCUUGCGCGUUUGGAGCGGCCGAUGGCAGAUUAGGUAGUUGGUGGGAUAAAAGCUUACCAAGCCGACGAUCUGUAGCUGGUCUGAGAGGACGACCAGCCACACUGGGACUGAGACACGGCCCAGACUCCUACGGGAGGCAGCAGUGGGGAAUUUUGGACAAUGGGCGAAAGCCUGAUCCAGCAAUGCCGCGUGCAGGAUGAAGGCCUUCGGGUUGUAAACUGCUUUUGUACGGAACGAAAAGGCUCUGGCUAAUACCUGGGGCACAUGACGGUACCGUAAGAAUAAGCACCGGCUAACUACGUG
rnacentral:rRNA from 1 species